AUGGAAAAAAUAGCGAUAAAAAAAAAGAAAACGUGGGAAGAGAUAGCGCCAGUUCCAUAACCCAACUUUCCCUUUCCCCUUCAGCCGUAAAAGACUGUUCAUCAGCUUCUCGGCCCACAGUCCAUAACGGCCCGCCCACGCCCACGCUGACGCCGUCUCUCCCACACUCCCCACCUCCGUGGCUCCGUUCCUCGGUCUCGCUACCAGCCGCGGCCGCCAUACGCGCGCCCCACCCACCAAAGCGCCACGGCCCCGGAGCAACGAGCAGGAUCAGAACGCCGAGUUCAAUAGCUCCGCUGCCGACGAGCCACCGGAGACGCCCUCCAUGCACCUUGCCGCCUCGACCUGCUGGUUGCCGCGGCGCUGCCUGCGAUCUCUGCCCGAGGCUGGGAUGGUAAAGAGAUGAGGGAUCUAGUGGGGAGGAAUAGAGUGGAAGGGGCUCAUCAUGCACCGGAAGAUCCUUCGCGGUGAUUCAUUAUGAGAGGAAUUGACAAGCGUUAGAGCCGCACUCACCUUCAGUUUUUUUAUUUUGAAGACGGAAAUAUAGUUUCGGCAUCUUCACCAAAUAAGGCUAGAUAAACAGAGAAGUUCUUUGCAUUUUAUGCAAAGAUAUUCCAGCCAUCGAUUUUAUCAGAUGGAAUGAGCAGAACUGUGAGGACCCAAAUCAGAGCACUCCAGGCUCGAGCUGAUGUAUCAUGGCCUGUACUGGGACUCAUGAGUGCCAUUAUAUUCCACUGCAAUUCCAGGUAUUGCUAAAUGAGGAAAUCAGUGCCAAGAUGAAUCUAAUCCAUUUAUUAUGAUGAGCAAAUUGAAUCUUUGUCCCAACCUUUCCUCUGAGUGCUGGAUUGAACUCCAUCCACAGCCUGUCACAGGAAAAGUCAGAAUGAAUUCAAUACCUGCUAUUAGAAGACGAGGACAUGCCCUCCUUGGCCUGGUCAUUGUUCUUUAGUGAGAAUUAUGACAAGUUCAAUCACAUUGAAGAAGUAGAUGUUUAUAGCUGGUGCUUAUAUUCUUUAUCGUAUCUUUAUUCAGCCAUGGUUUAUGUUUAUAGUUGUUGAUUACUUGCAGGAUAUGAGCCAAUUGUUGGUCUUGAGUUCUGCAAUCCACUCUUCGUCUCACAAUGAGGAAUCUUGACUUGAGGAGUACAAAAAGUUCCACCUCUCCAAAUUGCUGUCUCAAAGCCUCAAAUUUGGCUCAAAGAUGCUAAUGUUAAUUUGGAUCUGUAGCUGUGGAUCAACUCAUGUUACACAGCAUUCAAACAGUAGUAAUGCUUUAGUCUAAAACUUGCAUCAACUAUUAGUCUAAAGGUCUACUAGUUGAGUAAAAGGCUACUCUUGACAUCCUGUCUGUAAAUCCUACAGAUAGCACAUGAGCUUUUGACCAAUGCUAAACAUGAUAUGGUGGUGUUUUCUUCCUAAAUGCAUCAGGUGAGUACCAAUAAACAGAAGUAGAAGCUGAAAUAGUGGUUGGUAAUAACUGUAGUGUGAUAAUUUCUUAGGAUUCUAGGUUGCUUCGUGCUCCUUGGAGAUAGAUGUUAAUGAGGUAUGAGGAGCGCCUAAGGCCUAAGCUUAAUACAUACUUACCAAAUGCAUUUUUUCAAUGUAAAAAAUAUGCUUGCGUUAUUAUUUGAGCUUUUGAACACCAAAUUGUUGAAAAUUAGUACAUUACUGAAUGAAAAGAUAUAUAGCGUUAACGGGUGGUGAUUUAAAUACUUUGAUAACGGCGUAGAUAGAAAACUUGAUCCACCCGGUGAAGAACCAAGAAACAAGUACUCCUGUUCUUUAACUUUUUCGCUACAUGUUUAUAACUAUGCUAAUAUGCAUAACUUGCUAUGGUGUUCUUAGUUUAGUCAGUUAAAUUGUUCAUAUCUCAAACCCCAUGAUUUCUUAUGUACUUAUUGGUAUGACAGGGUUUAAUUCGGCUAUGACAUUUGUUACUGGGGAGCAUGGAUGAUAUGCUGGGCCGAAGAUGCACCGGUUCAGCUUGUACUGGAGAACCUGUUGUGCCAAGGUUUGAACUGGGAUGUCUGGCUGGCUGGGUUGCUACGGAAAGAGAGUUCUGUGUAUCUAUCUGACUACACGCUAGUUGAGGUUGCAGGAAAUCCGUCUCCAACGUUGCAACUACAUGCUGCUCUCAAAUAACCAAGAUUGAAAGAGCAUCACAUGGCAUGUUUUUUAGGCUGCUUUAGCUAGAUUGUUUAGUGUACUGGAAAUGCAUUUGGAAAUGUCUGGGAAAGAUUGAAAUCAUAUUUAUCAGAGACUCUACAUAUUCCGAAACCAACUACUGUGACUGUUGCCGUUUGAUGUGUUUUGUGUUGUACGUGUAUCUUCUAA